GCCGCUACAUGCGCGUUUAGUGUAUCGGUGACACGAGUCACCGAGGUGCCGAAGGGAAACCGUGAAACGUGCCGCCUGGGAAGUACGGUCGCAAGGCUGAAACUUAAAGGAAUUGGGCGGGGGAGCACCACAACAGGUGGAGCCUGCGGUUUAAUCGGACUCAACGCCGGGAAGCUCACCGGAUAAGACAGCUGAAUGAUAGCCGGGCUGAAGACUCUGCUUGACUAGCUGAGAGGAGGUGCAUGGCA
rnacentral:rRNA from 1 species